rnacentral:tRNA from 1 species
GGGGCCGUAGCUCAGCUGGGAGAGCGUAUGACUGGCAGUCAUAAGGUCAGGGGUUCGAUCCCCCUCGGCUCCACCA